rnacentral:lncRNA from 1 species
UCCCUCCUUCCCUCCUCUUUCUUUUUAUGUUUUUAGAGAAAUAUAAUAGGUUAAUUUAGGAAAACAGAUAAUAUUUUCCUACCAUUAGUCCUCAGUGUAUAUUGACUUACCGAAUUGUAGUGCUAGAAUUCUUGAUCCUAAAAAUAGCUACUUAAGUUGUGUAUUCCCUAUAGGAACAGUACCAGUAGAAUGAAUAUGCGUCAAAAGGUAUUCAUGAGAUGAGCCUGCAUGAUAUGGUGUAAUCUAAUCAGGCUGUCUUCACACUGGAAACCUGCAUUGGUGACCAAGAGAGUCUCUCCAGGGAGAGAAUGUACAUGCAUCGUCCAUAAGCCAUCCCCACAAUACAUCCUGAGGAUCUGGAUAUCCCUUGUGUCCCAUCUGUGGAAGGUUUGGUUCCCCAGUAGAACCACCAUGAGGAAUAACAGGCUUGGGAAGAGCUUAGUGGUUUGCUCUGCCAUAAAACCCAACAUGAUGUGCUGCCUUGCCCUAAGCCCAAAUCAGCCUAGCUGUCCAACCAUGGGCCUCCAAACCUGGGACCCCAAACAAACCUCUCCUUAUAAGUUGAUUAUCUCAGGUAUUGGUCAUAGUGACAGAAAGCAACACAGAGAAGAUGGAACUUCCUCCUGAAAUCCUCAAGCUCCCUCCUCCCACCUGUCCGUGAUCAGACCGGUGGCCUGGUUUUUGUCACUGUAAACCAGUUCAGAUUUUCUAAACUUCUACUGAAUGGACCACACCCUCUUGGGGUCAGCACCAUCAUCACCAGAGCACAUCAGUGGUUGACAACUUCCUUUCAGGACAUGCCCCAAGCCACUGUCUGUUGUCAGCCGGAGACCUGUACCCG